rnacentral:misc_RNA from 1 species
GAAACGGAAGGCCGCUGUGCUCCCUCCCCCUCGUGCAUUCUUGCUUGUACGUUGGAGUGUUUAUGUUUUGCCGUUGCAGUUGUCGUGACAUCUGCGACGCGCUCUUGCCUUGCAUUUACUGCGAGACGACCGCCGCCGCCUCCUCGCUCAUUUGUGUCACCAGAGGAAGCGCUGAAGCGGCAUCGCCACGUUCUCUGUCGCCCCACCUCCUUUCCGCGCCUUUUAUCGGACUGAGUCGACGAAGGAACAACGCCUUGUGGAGGGUCGGCAAUCGGUGUGCCGAAAACUUGCCUUCCGCAUGUGGUAUUCGCGACCUCGCAUCGGCUCUGUUCUGUCCUAGUCUUCGCGCUGUCAUCAAUUUAUGCUCUGGUACAGUGUGUUGGCGCAGGCGUGUUUCCUGGCGUGAAAGCGCGCACUCACGCGUUGAACUCGUACGACGCUACGCUGCUUAUGGUGGAUGUGCGGGGCUCCCUUCGUAGAGAGCGGGUUGAAACAUGUCCCUCGCGUGCGACGAUAAGUCCCCCCUUUUCGACAACGCGAAAGGGGCGUCGUACCACGGCGUCGCGCAAGCGAAUCCAGAGGAGGAGUGCGAUUGGCGUCAGCCGCACAAUGGCAGCAUUUUAGUCGACAAUCGCACGUUCAGCAGCCUGGAGGAGGUGCAAGGGUCACUAUUGGAAAGCUGCUGCCCCGGCGAUGGUGUGCUCUCAGGCGCCCUCGGGCUGGUGACGUCGGCGUGUACGCCGACAAUGCUUUCGCUUCCCCUCGCCUUUGUGGUGGGCGGGUGGGCGUUUGCGAUGAUCUGCAUCCUGUUUUGCAUCCUUGUAAUGUUUCUCUCUGUCCGCAUUUUGGCGCUCGCCUCCCUCUCCGCUGACUCGGACGACUACGAGACGGUGGCCGGCUUCUUUCUGGGCGCCAAGGGCCGUUGGGUGGUGCGCUUCACUCUUUUCUUUUACAACUUCGGCUGCGCCGUGGUGUACUUGAGCUUUAUCAAGGAAAGCGUCACGCGGAUCCUGGUGAGUCGAGCGAAUUUUCUGCCUCUGUGGAUGCGCAGCGACACCGGCGGCAACAUCUGCCUCUUCGCCUCCACACUAAUCAUAACCCCACUCACCUUCAACGCGCGCUUGGCCUCGCUGCGCACGAAGGGGUUUGUGAGCAACCUCUUCACCGUCUUCAUCAUCUUUACCGUUGCGUAUCGUUUCUUCGUCCCGGAGAGCGUCAGCGGUAUCGCGAAGACUGCCGAGCCCUCGGCGGACGCGAAGCGAGAUUUCUCCCAGGGUCGACUGGCGUUCGUUCUCCCGUAUAUGUUUUCAGCGCCAAUCUUUGUCUUCUCUUACGAGGUGCAGUCGAACGUCAUGGCAGUCAUCAAAGACCUGCACGACCGCACUGGCCGCAAGAUCCUCGUAUCCACCUCGCUGGCGCUCUGCGUCAUGUCCGUCUUUUACAUUUUGCUUGGCGCCAUGGGGAGCCUUACUUUUCCGCACCUGUCGAGCGGUAACAUCCUCUCCAGCUACAACGCGGAGACGGAUUUGCUCAUGAUGGUGUGCCAGCUCAUGUGCUGCUUUAGCGCUGCGGUGUCCUUUGUGUUCUGCAUCUUUCCGUGCCGCCUCGCCGCCUUUAUGUUCCUCUCUGGAGGCAGUGGAACCAAGAUCCCAAAGAAGACACGCACAAAACUUGGCGUGGCUCUUUCCGCGGUGUGUUGCGUCCUCGCAAUUUUCCUGGCGGAUGUGGCGAGGGUGGUAUCCGUUCUUGGAGCCCUCUUUAGCGCCACGCUCUCCAUGACAUUUCCAGCGCUCUUUGCGAUGAGGAUGCGCGAGUCUGGGGCUUACCUGACGGGCCGGAUCGACGCGCUUCUCUCGUGGGUUUUCCUCCUCAUGGGGCUUAUUUUCUCCGUCAUGGGGACGUACAUGGCGGUCGUCUUUUCAUGAGUAGGUGAUGAUCACAUAUAUUAGACACAGUGAGAGAAAGGCAAAAAUAUCAUGCGGAUGCGAGCGGCUGCCCCACGUGGACGUAAAUGGGGUGAGCGGAGGCGGAUGAUGGCCCUACCUGUCUGCUCAUUCAUGUGCUGUUUCUUUCGCAGCAACAGCGUGCAAGGCGCAUGUCAUUUGCUCUCCCCCUGUUGCUCUUUCCUGUUGCGGCCGCGAUCGGAUGUGCACGACAACGCGUGCGCGCAUGUCGGGCUCUCCUUCGGCUCUUUUGUGUCUUUGUGGUGACUUGCCCGCGAAGAUCAUACUGAGGCUCGCACCUCGUGUGCGGCACACGCUCCGCAAGCCCACACGCGUGCUGAGUCACGCGGCGCGGUGGCGGAGGUCUGCGUGCGUUCACAGCUGACUUUGUAUCGCGAAUGGUGAGAUGAUGAAAGUACCUCACCGGAAAGCUGUGACAUCGAAACCAGCAAAAAAACGCUAGGAUUAGUAGUUACCCACUGCGGUCUUCUUCUGAUCAGACACAGGCAGGACGGCGGCUCACGGCAUGCAGGCGGCCUUCAGUGCCGUGGGCAUCCAUACGCGCACCCACUUAGGCACAUAAACACAUUGUGGCGGUGGGACCUGCGUCGACUAAUGCUCUCUGCCUCCUAAAUCUGAUGAUGGGGGGGGGCACACCUCGGUGCGCAGCAUCUCAGGGUCCAGCGCCUCAUCUGUGGGCCAGCCCUGCAGACCCCCUCCCCCUCCCCCCGUGUGUCCCCGCGAACGCACAGCUGCAUGUGGUGGUGGCAGGCUCAAAAGUACCCCCACGACGUGGGGGUGGAGGUGAGAGCGAUUCAGCGGUGCUGAUAUGUCGGCGUUGAUGCCGUGGAUGGCGCUGCGUCGCAGCGAGCUGCGGUCGUGGGCACGCUUGUGCCAUGCCUAGGAUAGAAGGCAAGCGUGCCCGCGUGGCUCGUACGUACCUCCUUGGGCCGCCUCACUGGCCGCUGGUGUGAUGGGAGCCUGAGCUACCCCCCAGACAGAGUGAGUGAGAGAGAGAGGUGCGCCAGGUGGCGACCAGCACAGCGGGAGCGACCCGUGAGGCGACCUGGGGGGUGGGUGGGUGGGUGGGCGGG